AGAGUUUGAUCCUGGCUCAGGACGAACGCUGGCGGCGUGCCUAAUACAUGCAAGUCGAACGAACUCUGGUAUUGAUUGGUGCUUGCAUCAUGAUUUACAUUUGAGUGAGUGGCGAACUGGUGAGUAACACGUGGGAAACCUGCCCAGAAGCGGGGGAUAACACCUGGAAACAGAUGCUAAUACCGCAUAACAACUUGGACCGCAUGGUCCGAGUUUGAAAGAUGGCUUCGGCUAUCACUUUUGGAUGGUCCCGCGGCGUAUUAGCUAGAUGGUGGGGUAACGGCUCACCAUGGCAAUGAUACGUAGCCGACCUGAGAGGGUAAUCGGCCACAUUGGGACUGAGACACGGCCCAAACUCCUACGGGAGGCAGCAGUAGGGAAUCUUCCACAAUGGACGAAAGUCUGAUGGAGCAACGCCGCGUGAGUGAAGAAGGGUUUCGGCUCGUAAAACUCUGUUGUUAAAGAAGAACAUAUCUGAGAGUAACUGUUCAGGUAUUGACGGUAUUUAACCAGAAAGCCACGGCUAACUACGUGCCAGCAGCCGCGGUAAUACGUAGGUGGCAAGCGUUGUCCGGAUUUAUUGGGCGUAAAGCGAGCGCAGGCGGUUUUUUAAGUCUGAUGUGAAAGCCUUCGGCUCAACCGAAGAAGUGCAUCGGAAACUGGGAAACUUGAGUGCAGAAGAGGACAGUGGAACUCCAUGUGUAGCGGUGAAAUGCGUAGAUAUAUGGAAGAACACCAGUGGCGAAGGCGGCUGUCUGGUCUGUAACUGACGCUGAGGCUCGAAAGUAUGGGUAGCAAACAGGAUUAGAUACCCUGGUAGUCCAUACCGUAAACGAUGAAUGCUAAGUGUUGGAGGGUUUCCGCCCUUCAGUGCUGCAGCUAACGCAUUAAGCAUUCCGCCUGGGGAGUACGGCCGCAAGGCUGAAACUCAAAGGAAUUGACGGGGGCCCGCACAAGCGGUGGAGCAUGUGGUUUAAUUCGAAGCUACGCGAAGAACCUUACCAGGUCUUGACAUACUAUGCAAAUCUAAGAGAUUAGACGUUCCCUUCGGGGACAUGGAUACAGGUGGUGCAUGGUUGUCGUCAGCUCGUGUCGUGAGAUGUUGGGUUAAGUCCCGCAACGAGCGCAACCCUUAUUAUCAGUUGCCAGCAUUAAGUUGGGCACUCUGGUGAGACUGCCGGUGACAAACCGGAGGAAGGUGGGGAUGACGUCAAAUCAUCAUGCCCCUUAUGACCUGGGCUACACACGUGCUACAAUGGAUGGUACAACGAGUUGCGAACUCGCGAGAGUAAGCUAAUCUCUUAAAGCCAUUCUCAGUUCGGAUUGUAGGCUGCAACUCGCCUACAUGAAGUCGGAAUCGCUAGUAAUCGCGGAUCAGCAUGCCGCGGUGAAUACGUUCCCGGGCCUUGUACACACCGCCCGUCACACCAUGAGAGUUUGUAACACCCAAAGUCGGUGGGGUAACCUUUUAGGAACCAGCCGCCUAAGGUGGGACAGAUGAUUAGGGUGAAGUCGUAACAAGGUAGCCGUA
rnacentral:rRNA from 2 species